GGGCGUGUGGCUGAGCAGCAAAGGCAACAGACUGUAAAUCUGUCGGGGUUUCCCCUUCGUAGGUGCAAGUCCUACCGCGCCCACCA
rnacentral:tRNA from 5 species